rnacentral:rRNA from 1 species
CAGCAGCCGCGGUAAUACAGAGGGUGCGAGCGUUAAUCGGAUUUACUGGGCGUAAAGCGUGCGUAGGCGGCUUUUUAAGUCGGAUGUGAAAUCCCUGAGCUUAACUUAGGAAUUGCAUUCGAUACUGGGAAGCUAGAGUAUGGGAGAGGAUGGUAGAAUUCCAGGUGUAGCGGUGAAAUGCGUAGAGAUCUGGAGGAAUACCGAUGGCGAAGGCAGCCAUCUGGCCUAAUACUGACGCUGAGGUACGAAAGCAUGGGGAGCAAACAGGAUUAGAGACCCCAGUAGUCCCUGUCUCUUAUAC